rnacentral:rRNA from 1 species
AACAGGAUUAGAUACCCUGGUAGUCCACGCCGUAAACGAUGUCUACUAGCUGUUCGUGACCUUGUGUCGUGAGUAGCGCAGCUAACGCAUUAAGUAGACCGCCUGGGGAGUACGGUCGCAAGAUUAAAACUCAAAUGAAUUGACGGGGGCCCGCACAAGCGGUGGAGCAUGUGGUUUAAUUCGACGCAACGCGAAGAACCUUACCUACUCUUGACAUCUACAGAAGACUGCAGAGAUGCGGUUGUGCCUUCGGGAACUGUAAGACAGGUGCUGCAUGGCUGUCGUCAGCUCGUGUUGUGAAAUGUUGGGUUAAGUCCCGCAGCGAGCGCAACCCUUAUCCUUAGUUGCCAGCACGUUAUGGUGGGAACUCUAGGGAGACUGCCGGUGAUAAACCGGAGGAAGGUGGGGACGACGUCAAGUCAUCAUGGCCCUUACGAGUAGGGCUACACACGUGCUACAAUGGUAUGUACAGAGGGAGGCAAGCCUGCGAGGGUGAGCGGAUCUCUUAAAGCAUAUCGUAGUCCGGAUCGCAGUCUGCAACUCGACUGCGUGAAGUCGGAAUCGCUAGUAAUCGCAAAUCAGAAUGUUGCGGUGAAUACGUUCCCGGGCCUUGUACACACCGCCCGUCACACCAUGGGAGUGGGUUGCAAAAGAAGUAGGUAGCUUAACCUUCGGGAGGGCGCUUACCACUUUGUGAUUCAUGACUGGGGUGAAGUCGUAACAAGGUAACC